rnacentral:rRNA from 1 species
GGCGUCGACCGGCGCACGGGUGAGUAACGCGUAUCCAACCUGCCCAUCACUUGGGGAUAACCUUGCGAAAGUAAGACUAAUACCCAAUGACGUCUCUAGAAGACAUCUGAAAGGGAUUAAAGAUUUAUCGGUGAUGGAUGGGGAUGCGUCUGAUUAGCUUGUUGGCGGGGUAACGGCCCACCAAGGCGACGAUCAGUAGGGGUUCUGAGAGGGAGGUCCCCCACAUUGGAACUGAGACACGGUCCAAACUCCUACGGGAGGCAGCAGUGAGGAAUAUUGGUCAAUGGACGAGAGUCUGAACCAGCCAAGUAGCGUGCAGGAUGACGGCCCUAUGGGUUGUAAACUGCUUUUAUAAGGGAAUAAAGUGAGUCUCGUGAGACUUUUUGCAUGUACCUUAUGAAUAAGGACCGGCUAAUUCCGUGCCAGCAGCCGCGGUAAUACGGAAGGUCCGGGCGUUAUCCGGAUUUAUUGGGUUUAAAGGGAGCGUAGGCCGGAGAUUAAGCGUGUUGUGAAAUGUAGACGCUCAACGUCUGCACUGCAGCGCGAACUGGUUUCCUUGAGUACGCACAAAGUGGGCGGAAUUCGUGGUGUAGCGGUGAAAUGCUUAGAUAUCACGAAGAACUCCGAUUGCGAAGGCAGCUCACUGGAGCGCAACUGACGCUGAAGCUCGAAAGUGCGGGUAUCGAACAGGAUUAGAUACCCUGGUAGUCCGCACGGUAAACGAUGGAUGCCCGCUGUUGGCCUGAACAGGUCAGCGGCCAAGCGAAAGCAUUAAGCAUCCCACCUGGGGAGUA